GUUUAUAUUGCCUGGAUGCCUGACUUGGAAGUUCAUGGUACAGUUCAGGGCCUUGAAACAGGGCAGGGCUUGAGCCCCAACUGUGCACAAAGCACUGGGCUGGAUCUUCUGAGACAGAGGAGCCUUCUCUCCCCUUCCUGCCUCCAG
ensembl:lncRNA novel transcript